GGUUUUAAAUGGGAUUCUUUUUCUCAAAUCAAUACGCAACGUCAAUUGUCACAUUUUUCGCGCCAUUCUCGGAAUUUCUUUCAUAGAAGAAUGAAAAGAAUUGUACGACCAAUCACAUUCGAGUAUUUACCAUGAAAACAAAGAAAAAAUAAUUAUAUGUGUAUGUUGUUGCUAACAUUGUGAUACUAACACCUGAUAUAUCAAAUGACUUAUUAAUGAACAAUAUCAGUGUUAAUGAAGGUAACAUUUAUAUCUCCCCAAACAUGAGGUAUAGCAGGAUGCAUUAGGGCGUUCUAGGUAGAAUGUCUGUUGUAGUUAUUGGUUAAAGUGACUGUAAAAUUCAUUGUUAGAAAAUAUUAUCAGGUGUAGUAUACAUCAUAAAACUUAGAAAAUAUUAUCAGGUGUAGUAUACAUCAUAAAACUAAGAACUUUCCUUAAUUGUUUUUUAAUACAUAAAUCAGUGCAAAAAAUAUUAUUAUAAUUUGGUAGGUCCUUCAAGAAUGCAUACAUUACUGCUCAUAAGCAGAACUCGCCCUCAUGUUGCCUUUCAGUUUUCUCUGUGUAAUAUUCUUAACACACAUUAACCAAGGAAAAUAGUGUUAAAAAACUCAUUAACAUAUUUUAUUUACAGAGUGCAUACCAUUUGAUCUCGCAAAUAAGCGGACAAAGUAAUAACAUGUAUUUGGCGUUUUGUUUCGUGUGGAGUUAACUGCAAUGUAUUGUAACAGGUUUGCACGUGAAUAUUGCACUUUCAUCUGUUACAUUUUAUGUGAUUUAUAUAUUGUUGUUAUCAGUAAUACAUAUCUACUUUAUUGUAACCUGCUCCCAUUCUCUUAUGGCCACUGAUAAUUGUGGAGUUUCUGAUUGACUUUCUAUUUCACCAUCGUCGGAUACCCACGAUUGAUGGCAUUACACCACGCUACAGGGUAAUUCAAUCAACCAUGGGUAUCCGACGAUGUUAUUGUACUAAAGGAUAUUAUUUUGUUGUUUGAAUAAAUUAUUGGUUGAAAAUUUUA